rnacentral:rRNA from 1 species
GACGUAGGGCGCGAGCGUUGUCCGGAUUUAUUGGGCGUAAAGAGCUCGUAGGCGGCUUGUCGCGUCGACUGUGAAAUCCCGCGGCUCAACUGCGGGUCUGCAGUCGAUACGGGCAGGCUAGAGUUCGGUAGGGGAGACUGGAAUUCCUGGUGUAGCGGUGAAAUGCGCAGAUAUCAGGAGGAACACCGAUGGCGAAGGCAGGUCUCUGGGCCGAUACUGAUGCUGAGGAGCGAAAGCGUGGGGAGCGAACAGG